GACGAACGCUGGCGGCGUGCUUAACACAUGCAAGUCGAACGGAAAGGCCCUGCUUUUGUGGGGUGCUCGAGUGGCGAACGGGUGAGUAACACGUGAGUAACCUGCCCUUGACUUUGGGAUAACUUCAGGAAACUGGGGCUAAUACCGGAUAGGAGCUCCUGCUGCAUGGUGGGGGUUGGAAAGUUUCGGCGGUUGGGGAUGGACUCGCGGCUUAUCAGCUUGUUGGUGGGGUAGUGGCUUACCAAGGCUUUGACGGGUAGCCGGCCUGAGAGGGUGACCGGCCACAUAGGGACUGAGAUACGGCCCAGACUCCUACGGGAGGCAGCAGUGGGGAAUAUUGCACAAUGGGCGGAAGCCUGAUGCAGCAACGCCGCGUGCGGGAUGACGGCCUUCGGGUUGGAAACCGCUUUCGCCUGUGACGAAGCGUGAGUGACGGUAAUGGGUAAAGAAGCACCGGCUAACUACGU
rnacentral:rRNA from 1 species